GCAGUAGCCGCGGUAAUACGUAGGUGGCAAGCGUUGUCCGGAAUUAUUGGGCGUAAAGGGCUUGCAGGCGGUUUCUUAAGUCUGAUGUGAAAGCCCCCGGCUCAACCGGGGAGGGUCAUUGGAAACUGGGAAACUUGAGUGCAGAAGAGGAGAGUGGAAUUCCACGUGUAGCGGUGAAAUGCGUAGAGAUGUGGAGGAACACCAGUGGCGAAGGCGACUCUCUGGUCUGUAACUGACGCUGAGAAGCGAAAGCGUGGGGAGCGAACAGGAUUAGAUACCCCAGUAGUCCCUGUCUCUUAUAC
rnacentral:rRNA from 1 species